rnacentral:lncRNA from 1 species
UGCUUAUAAAUCCAUAAGCUAAACAAAUUAUACAAUUAGAACUCCAACUAUUUAUGACAAGUUCAUAUCAUCAUAAACUAAACAUUUUAAAAUUUGAAACGUGAGAGGUUUUUAAAACUUUUAAACAAUAUAUCAAUUCAGAUUCAUCGACAACAUUUCAUUAUAUAUAAAAUGUACUUAUACAACAACCACAUAAUAACCAAUAAGACUUGUCUACAAUUCUGAAUAGCUUUCCACUACCUUAGCCAAAUUCAAACAUCUCAGUAAGUGACAAGCAAACUUGAAAGAUUAAUAUAACAAUGGAGUGAGGUAUAAAGCUCAGCAAGUGACAAACAUAUCUAUGGUAAAAAGGGACAGUUUCAAACAAACAAGGUAUCAAAAUGCAAGGUAGAUACAAGAUUUCAUAGAUAUCAUCUCAUUAGAUACAGAAUCACAAAUGUCAUUUCAAUCAAAACAUAUUUGGUUCAUAACAAAUGGAGUAAAUAGUAAUUGGAACAUAUCAAUAACGUAAGAAGUAUUUCGGGGCAUAUUAAUGGCGUAUGAAAUGUUUCAGAGUAUAUUAAUAGCAUAUGAAAUAUUUUAGAGCAUAUCAAUAGCAUAUGAAAUAUUUUGGAGUAUAUCAAUGGCAUAUAAAAUAUUUCAAAGCAUAUCAACGGCGUAUGAAAUGUUUCGGAGCAUAUCAAUAACAAAUGAAAUAUUUCAGAGCAUAUUAAUGACGUAUGAAAUGUUUUGAAGUAUAUCAAUGGCAUAUGAAACAUUUCGGAGUAUAUCAAUAGCGUAUGAAAUGUUUCUGAGCAUAUCAAUAACAAUUGAAAUAUUUCAAAACUAAUCAAUGCAUCUAAAAUGUUUCAAAG